CGGGGACAACACAUAACAGACAGAGGAAAACGCCGUGCACAGUGUGUUCUAAAAAGUCUACGAAGUCAUAGCGUCUCUUUAUCUGACAAGAACAAGAAUUCAUGUCGAUCGCCNGCACGCACUUGCCCGAAACCGUAGCCGUAGAUGGCGUCACAGCCGCACCGGCACCGCUGUGGUUGUGGUGGCGGCACUUCUCAUUUCGACCACCGCCUGGCUCUCUCUCGUAUUCUCCGGCGCCACCGUCCGUUGCUGGCACCGUUUUAGGAAUUGGGAAGGCAGCCCCCGGACACUAUCCUGGAAGAAGCGACCUUCCACCACCACUACCAAAUCGUUUGAUCGCCGCCUACCUAUUGUGCCACCGACCAGUCAGUUCUUGUCCCGUCGUCCUUCAUUCCAAUUGGGCCGCAAUCGCAGCCUUUCGGAGGAGAAGCAUAAGGGAAAUGAACUGUCACUGAAGCACAUCAUGUUUGGCAUAGCGGGAUCCUCGCAGCUAUGGAAACGGCGCAAGGAGUUCGUGAGGCUGUGGUGGCGACCAAACGAAAUGAGGGGCUACGUCUGGCUUGAAGAGCACGUGGCUAAACUGGAUUGGGACGAUUCCUUACCCCCUAUCAUGAUUUCCGAGGACACCUCCCGCUUCCGGUACACCAAUCCUACAGGUCACCCUUCCGGUCUCCGGAUCUCCCGUAUUAUCUCCGAGAGUCUUCGCCUGGGAUUGUCCGAUGUUCGGUGGUUCGUUCUGGGCGACGAUGAUACCAUUUUCAAUGCGGACAAUCUGGUUGCUGUUCUCGGCAAGUAUGACUCCUCUGAGAUGGUCUACAUCGGUGCUCCUUCUGAAAGCCACUCUGCCAACACCUAUUUCAGUCACUCUAUGGCCUAUGGAGGUGGGGGAAUUGCCAUAAGUUAUCCACUGGCCGAGGCUCUUUCCAACAUUUUGGAUGACUGUCUCGAGAGAUAUCAUAAACUCUAUGGAAGUGAUGAUCGGCUCC
rnacentral:misc_RNA from 1 species